GAUAGGGAAUGGUCAAAAGAUAAGGUGGAAGAUCCAGGAUGAUAGAGUAUGGUCAAUAGAUAAGGUGGAGGAUCCAGGGUGAUAAAGUAUGGUCAACAGAUAAGGUGGAAGAUCCAGGGUAAUGAUACUAAAAAGGGGAGAUAAGACCAGGAUGAUAGGGUAUAGUCAAUAGAUAAGGUGGAAGAUCCAGGGUAAUGAUAUUCAAACGGGGAGAUAACACCAGGGUGAUAGGGUAUGGUCAAAAGAUAAGGUGGAAGAUCCAGGGUGAAAGAGUAUGGUCAAUAGAUAAGGUGGAGGAUCCAGGGUGAUAGAGUAUGGUCAAUAGAUAAGGUGGAAGAUCCAGGGUGAUAGAGUAUGGUCAAUAGAUAAGGUGGAAGAUCCAGGGUAAUUAUACUAAAAAGGGUAGAUAACACCAGGGUGAUAGGGUAUGGUCAAUAGAUACGGUGGAAGAUCCAGGGUAAUGAUAUUAAAAGGGGAGAUAAGACCAGGAUGAUAGGGUAUGGUCAAUAGAUAAGGUGGAGGAUCCAGGGUAAUGAUACUUAAAAGGGUAGAUAACACCAGGGUGAUAGGGUAUGGUCAAUAGAUAAGGUGGAGGAUCCAGGGUAAUGAUACUUAAAAGGGUAGAUAACACCAGGGUGAUAGGGUAUGGUCAAUAGAUAAGGUGGAAGAUCCAGGGUAAUGAUACUAAAAAGUUUGUUGCUUUUGACAAUAUAAUAAAUUCCCAGCACUUUACUGGUAUGGACAUGAAACUGUAAAAAAAAAAAAAAUCAAUGACUUUAAGUUUGUGUUUAAAUCAGUGAAAUUUUUUACCAAUAAAG